rnacentral:lncRNA from 1 species
GAGGGUAAUCCGCAACCUCUAAAAAAUGCUAGUAUACCUUCAAGUAGAGGGGUAAUCCACACUCUACUAAGAAAGAACUAGCUCUGAUAUCUCAAGUUAGUGUAGUCUCGACAAACUGUCAUGGACACAAAAUACAGACUUGAAAUCUAACAAGAAGUUCAAGAAGAAGUCGCAGAACUACAUUAAACAGAUGAAUACAAGAACAACACCAAAAAGGUGAGCUAGAACUCCAAGAG